rnacentral:rRNA from 1 species
GUGACGCUGGCGGUAUGCUUAACACAUGCAAGUCGAACGGUCUCUUCGGAGAUAGUGGCGGACGGGUGAGUAAUGCGUGAGAAUCUGCCUUCUGGUCGGGGACAACCACGGGAAACGGUGGCUAAUACCGGAUAGGCCGAAAGGUAAAAGAUUAAUUGCCAGAAGAGGAGCUCGCGUCUGAUUAGCUAGUUGGUGGGGUAAAGGCUUACCAAGGCAGCGAUCAGUAGCUGGUCUGAGAGGAUGAUCAGCCACACUGGGACUGAGACACGGCCCAGACUCCUAUGGGAGGCAGCAGUGGGGAAUUUUCCGCAAUGGGCGAAAGCCUGACGGAGCAAUACCGCGUGAGGGAGGAAGGCUCUUGGGUCGUAAACCUCUUUUGUCAGGGAAGAAGCACUGACGGUACCUGACGAAUAAGCAUCGGCUAACUCCGUGCCAGCAGCCGCGGUAAU